AACAGGAGGAAUGAGGUUUAACACUUAAAUACUCCGGAUACUAGUACAUUGUGGCAAAACUCAAAUGGCAACGUAUUUACACUGAUACAUUCUUAUACUUACAGCUAUGCAUACACACACUUUCAUACUCACAUCCAUACACGAACCCCACCUUCAAUAGGUCUGAUCACAUACAAGGCCCCUGGUUUGGCCUCAUCUCCCUCACACUGGAGAGGCAAUCGAGGAGGCUACUUCCUUACAUCAAACUAGGCGUCGGUGCGGAGCUGAUGUGCUCUGGCAUUUCCAUCACAGAGCGUACUCUCCAAUUCUUACCCUCUCACUGUUAAUUCUCGUCCUCUGUCUACCUUGCGCCUUAUUUCUCUAUUUUUAUCUGUUUAUGUAGCCUAUCUUCCUUGGUCAUGCAUGUCUGUGAUAGAGACAGAGAUAAUAAGACUUUAUGGCAGACAACCGAGUUCUUAGAAUCAAAACAGCACUGUAGAACAGCGUGUAUAGUGUUAAUUGCAGUGUAGCCUAGAUUGCCUCUGGCUAUGUCAGAGGGAAUGUUUCUGUACUUGUAUCAGUACAUUUUAAGCUAAUAACAUAGACCUAACAAUUAUUGUAAAUGUGUGUUUACCUUGUGUUAUAAUAACCUAUGUAUAAUAUAAACGGUAGGACUGACUUCAUUCAUUAUAGGCUCCUGGUUGUAGUUAAUUACAUGUGAAAGCCCACAACAGCAUUGCUGUUAGAUGGCUUCAUUAAUUUAGUUAGCUAUACUAAAUUAAUAAUAGGCUAAAACUUGUCAUGUAUGGCUAGCUUUAUUCAAAAUAGCAGAACAUACCUGCCAGGCUACAAGUCAGCUCUCCCGCGCUGCCUCUCUUUACGCGAAAAUCGUCAUGCGGACUUGUGCCCUCGUGGAGAUUCAGUGCGGUGAAUAAAUAAUACUGAGGUAUUAAUUUUGUAUACUUCACUAGGCUAAAAGCAGCGUUUACUCGUUCAUUCGUGUCGGUCAACCACUGAAAACAUAAACGUGUCAAACUUUUGUCUGCCUCUUAUCCAUUUGGUGGAAUUUCAACCACGCUCCGGUCUCCGCGUCCCACGUCUCCUCCCAGUUCCCACCCCUCCUCGUGCACUUCUCCAAUCCCGCCUCUCAGUCACACAACAAGAGGAUAAUGGUGGUGUCUCGUUCCCUUAGCAACCAGUUGCUAUAGUAAUAUUCCUCGGUAAUUCAAAGUGUUGAUGAUGAUGAUGAAGAGUCCAGAUGUAUGACCACGACAGUUAGAUUAGGCUAGUUAUUCAAUCAAACACAUGUAUUUUACAAUUCGACCCUUAACCUAGGAAGAAACGUGUAUCUCAUAAACGUAUGUGUGCUGUUGCAGGUAGCCUACUCCAAAAAACAGAGGAUUCGCGAAAUCCACUUUUUGCAUAGUUGUAGGAGCUCCUCAGCAUUUUAGCUGCUGCACAUCUCGCAUUUCCCAACAACUUUACAGUAACUAGACGUUUGUUUCUAUGCGAAACGGCUGCGGCGCUUUUAGGAGUAGCCUUAGUUACAGCCCUUCCCGUACCGCGACCAAAAGAAAGCUCUACACACAUGCAAGAGGCAUUUCUCACUCAAUACCGAAAGUGGAUUGAAUCUUUUUCUGAAUAUUCUCUGUUUUUUGGAGUUCCACCUGCAACUGCACACAGGUGUUCAUACGAGACAUCGAAUCGAGAACAAAGAAAGUAUCGCCAAGGACAAGUAUGUGGAUGAGGAGGUUGGGCACCGGCCCUGUCUGGCUUUAAUCCCUUGGUCUGGACCUCUGUGGGUUCCCAGAUUUGCACAAUUGAGCAGCACAUUUUCAUCUCUCGUCCUGGCACGAUGGUAUGGGAUGAACUGUCCUUUCAGCUUGAAGAGGUAGACAUUCACCUGCAGGUUCAGCAGCAGCCCUGUCUGGCUUUAAUCUCUUGGUGUGGACCUCCGUGGGAUUCAAAUGCUCCUGUCAAACUGCAGCCAAUUUAUAACCUUCCCAUGCUGGGAGGAUGCUGGUGAGAGAGCUGGCAGUGCUAAACACACAGAUUUUCACAGUGGAGCAACCCGUUUAUUAUCUGUUUCACUCCUGCUAGGAGGAUGGUAUGGGAGGAACUGUCCGCUCAAAAUGAACAGUAUGUGGAUGAGGAGUUUGGACAGUGGACCUGUCUGGCUUUAAUCCCUUGGUCUGGACCCUUGUGUGUUCCUAUCUCCCCUGCCUUCUCCAAGGCCAAACCAGUCUACUACCUCACCCUUGCUGGGAGAAUGCUAGUAACAGAACUUGCAGUGUUAAACACACAGCAAAAUUAAGAGGACAUGCAUCACCUGUGCAUUGUGAGGGGAGUGGAGAAACAGCUGUGGUGGAGCAGAGUCAUCCAGGAAAACGUCCUGGACCCAUGGGUGGUCUUCAACAACAAGGAGGUGACUGGUAUUAAGGUGCAGUCAAGCACUUUCUCACUUUCAUUUCACAAAAGUGGCAAAUGUCCAUUUACCUAUUUGAAUAAAUACAUGUUGACAGAAAAUGAAAUGAUACAUUCUAAUCUCUUGCCUCAUUUUUAUUUCCUUGGUAGAAGGAUCCAUGGCCUUGUCAAGAGGAGGUCAGAGUUCACCUAUUAUGAGGACGCCCAGGUUUAUUUCAGAGUUUGGUUGAGGGGCUCUCAAUAUGGUGGUUUUCAGUGUUGGGCUUGCAGUGUCACAUGUUGUGUUAAACAGCACGUGGAUAUCUCCACCACGGUGGAGCGGUUCCAGGAGAGGGGGGAUGAGAUGAUGGCAUAUCAACUCUCUACCUCUGACAUCAUCACCACCCCUCAUGAGCCUUCCUUCCCCAAUGAUUCUCUGCCACCCCCUCCGCCUCCCCUUUUCCCUUGUUAUUCCCCUCCCAGUCCGCCUCCACCUUACCACUCCACCCAGGACCGGGACCAGGCCCCUGACAGCACUCCUCAGGGGUUACUUUGCAAACCAAGGGAAAACCAACUUCUCUCUGAGGCUAGCCGGUAUCUGACGUGGAGACUAUGACAUCCGCAGACAGUACCUCCCUCAAUUACCUCACACACGCUGGGAGGAUGGUGUUGAGCGGACUGUCCGAGCUCAACCAGCAGCUAACCAAUUUCAUAAUUAUAGUUCAUCAGACCAGAUAUAUAGUUCCCACUGGGCACAGGUGUCAUUUCAAUGUCUGGUUUUGAUUUACAUUUGGUUGAGUUGUCAACUAAUGUGAAUUCAAUGUGAAAUCCCACCCAAACAUUUACGUAAUUAGAUUUAGGUUAAAAGUUGGGUGAAAAUGUCACGUCCUGACCAGUAUAAGGGGUUAUUGGUUAUUGUAGUUUGGUCAGGACGUGGCAGGGGGUAUUUGUUUUAUGUGGUUCAGGGUUUAUUGGGAUAUGUAUUUAUGUAAGAGGGGUGUUUGUUUUAUGUGUUCCGGGGUGUUUGGGUAAUGUUCUUGUUUUGUAUUUCUAUGGUUUUCUAUGUUGUGUAUUUCUUUGUUGGCCUGGUAUGGCUCUCAAUCAGGAACAGCUGUACAUCGUUGUUUCUGAUUGGGAGUCAUACUUAGGUAGCCCUUUUUUCACCUGUGGUUUGUGGGAAGUUGUUGUUGCAUAGCUGUGUGUAGCCUGCAAUACUGUUCGUUAAGUGUUCUAAAUAAAGUUAAGAGGAGCACUCAACCCGCUGCGCCUUGGUCCAUUACGUACGACAGCCGUUACAGAAAAGACGAAAUUUCCUUACGUUGAUGACUUCUUUCAAAUCCAAUCAGUUUUCCACAUUGAUUGAACAUCAUCACAUUUACAUUUUCUAUUGAUGUGACAUGGAAACA
rnacentral:lncRNA from 1 species